CUCGAUGAGUAGGGCGGGACACGUGGUAUCCUGUCUGAAUAUGGGGGGACCAUCCUCCAAGGCUAAAUACUCCUGACUGACCGAUAGUGAACCAGUACCGUGAGGGAAAGGCGAAAAGAACCCCGGCGAGGGGAGUGAAAAAGAACCUGAAACCGUGUACGUACAAGCAGUGGGAGCACGCUUAGGCGUGUGACUGCGUACCUUUUGUAUAAUGGGUCAGCGACUUAUAUUCUGUAGCAAGGUUAACCGAAUAGGGGAGCCGAAGGGAAACCGAGUCUUAACUGGGCGUUAAGUUGCAGGGUAUAGACCCGAAACCCGGUGAUCUAGCCAUGGGCAGGUUGAAGGUUGGGUAACACUAACUGGAGGACCGAACCGACUAAUGUUGAAAAAUUAGCGGAUGACUUGUGGCUGGGGGUGAAAGGCCAAUCAAACCGGGAGAUAGCUGGUUCUCCCCGAAAGCUAUUUAGGUAGCGCCUCGUGAAUUCAUCUCCGGGGGUAGAGCACUGUUUCGGCAAGGGGGUCAUCCCGACUUACCAACCCGAUGCAAACUGCGAAUACCGGAGAAUGUUAUCACGGGAGACACACGGCGGGUGCUAACGUCCGUCGUGAAGAGGGAAACAACCCAGACCGCCAGCUAAGGUCCCAAAGUCAUGGUUAAGUGGGAAACGAUGUGGGAAGGCCCAGACAGCCAGGAUGUUGGCUUAGAAGCAGCCAUCAUUUAAAGAAAGCGUAAUAGCUCACUGGUCGAGUCGGCCUGCGCGGAAGAUGUAACGGGGCUAAACCAUG
rnacentral:rRNA from 1 species